rnacentral:rRNA from 1 species
UACGUAGGGUGCGAGCGUUGUUCGGAAUUAUUGGGCGUAAAGGGCGCGUAGGCGGUGCGGUAAGUCACCUGUGAAAUCUCCUGGCUCAACUGGGAGCUUGCAGGCGAAACUGCCGUGCUGGAGUGUGGGAGAGGUGCGUGGAAUUCCCGGUGUAGCGGUGAAGUGCGUAGAUAUCGGGAGGAACACCUGUGGCGAAAGCGGCUCACUGGACCACAACUGACGCUGAGGCGCGAAAGCUAGGGGAGCAAACAGG